rnacentral:rRNA from 1 species
GUGGGGAAUAUUGCGCAAUGGGGGAAACCCUGACGCAGCAACGCCGCGUGAAGGAUGAAGGUUUUCGGAUUGUAAACUUCUUUUGUCGAGGACGAAACAAAUGACGGUACUUGACGAAUAAGCCACGGCUAACUACGUGCCAGCAGCCGCGGUAAUACGUAGGUGGCGAGCGUUGUCCGGAUUUACUGGGUGUAAAGGGCGAGUAGGCGGGUGAGCAAGUCAGAUGUGAAAUACCGGGGCUUAACCCCGGGGCUGCAUUUGAAACUGCUUAUCUUGAGUGAUGGAGAGGCAGGCGGAAUUCCCGGUGUAGCGGUGGAAUGCGUAGAUAUCGGGAGGAACACCAGUGGCGAAGGCGGCCUGCUGGACAUUAACUGACGCUGAUGAGCGAAAGCGUGGGGAGCAAACAGGAUUAGAAACCCUUGUAGUCC